GAUGAAGAACGCAGCGAAAUGCGAUAAGUAAUGUGAAUUGCAGAACUCAGUGAAUCAUCGAAUCUUUGAACGCACAUUGCGCCCGCCAGUAUUCUGGCGGGCAUGCCUGUUCGAGCGUCAUUUCAACCAUCAAGCCCCCGGCUUGUGUUGGGGACCUGCGGCUGCCGCAGGCCCUGAAAACCAGUGGCGGGCUCGCUAGUCACUCCGAGCGUAGUAAUACAUCUCGCUCAGGGCGUGCUGCGGGUUCCGGCCGUUAAAAAGCCUUAUUUACCCAAGGUUGACCUCGGAUCAGGUAGGAAGACCCGCUGAACUUAAGCAUAUCAAUAAGCGGAGGA
rnacentral:misc_RNA from 1 species